rnacentral:rRNA from 1 species
GACGUAGGGGGCAAGCGUUGUUCGGAAUUAUUGGGCGUAAAGGGCGCGUAGGUGGCGCGAGGAGUCUGUGGUGAAAGCCCGAGGCUCAACUUCGGGUCGGCCGCGGAUACUCUCGUGCUGGAGGGUGGUAGAGGCCAAUGGAAUUCCGGGUGUAGCGGUGGAAUGCGUAGAGAUCCGGAAGAACACCGGUGGCGAAGGCGGUUGGCUGGGCCACACCUGACACUGAGGCGCGACAGCGUGGGGGAGCAAACAGGG